rnacentral:rRNA from 1 species
GGCAGACUUGACACAUGCAAGUCGAGCGGGCGUAGCAAUACGUCAGCGGCAGACGGGUGAGUAACGCGUGGGAACGUACCUUUUGGUUCGGAACAACACAGGGAAACUUGUGCUAAUACCGGAUAAGCCCUUACGGGGAAAGAUUUAUCGCCGAAAGAUCGGCCCGCGUCUGAUUAGCUAGUUGGUGAGGUAAUGGCUCACCAAGGCGACGAUCAGUAGCUGGUCUGAGAGGAUGAUCAGCCACAUUGGGACUGAGACACGGCCCAAACUCCUACGGGAGGCAGCAGUGGGGAAUAUUGGACAAUGGGGGCAACCCUGAUCCAGCCAUGCCGCGUGAGUGAUGAAGGCCCUAGGGUUGUAAAGCUCUUUUGUGCGGGAAGAUAAUGACGGUACCGCAGGAAUAAGCCCCGGCUAACUUCGUGCCAGCAGCCGCGGUAAUACGAAGGGGGCUAGCGUUGCUCGGAAUCACUGGGCGUAAAGGGUGCGUAGGCGGGUCUUUAAGUCAGGGGUGAAAUCCUGGAGCUCAACUCCAGAACUGCCUUUGAUACUGAAGAUCUUGAGUCCGGGAGAGGUGAGUGGAACUGCGAGUGUAGAGGUGAAAUUCGUAGAUAUUCGCAAGAACACCAGUGGCGAAGGCGGCUCACUGGCCCGGUACUGACGCUGAGGCACGAAAGCGUGGGGAGCAAACAGGAUUAGAUACCCUGGUAGUCCACGCCGUAAACGAUGAAUGCCAGCCGUUAGUGGGUUUACUCACUAGUGGCGCAGCUCACGCUAUAAGCAUUCCGCCUGGGGAGUACGGUCGCAAGAUUAAUACUCAAAGGAAUUGACGGGUGCCCGCACAAGCGGUGGAGCAUGUGGUUUAAUUCGACGCAACGCGCAGAACCUUACCAGCCCUUGACAUGUCCAUGACCGGUCACAGAGAUAUGACCCUCUCUUCGGAUCCUGCAGCACAGGUGCUGCAUGGCUGUCGUCAUCUCGUGUCCUGAGAUGUUGGGUUAAGUCCUUCAACGAGCGCAACCCUCGUCCUUAGUUGCUACCAUUUAGUUGAACACUCUUAUGAAACUGCCGGUGAUUAGCCCCCUCGAAAGUGGGGAUGACAUCAAGGUCUCCCCGCCCUUACAGAUUGGCCUACGCCCCUCCCACCAUGGCGUUGACACUGGGGUGCUUACGGGGGACCCUUGUCAAAUUUCAAAAACCCUUUAAAUUUCGGAUUGGGGUUGGC